rnacentral:lncRNA from 1 species
CUCCGAGGAUGUCGGCUGCUAACAAAAUGAGCCACAAACUAGUGGCUCAUCUGAUCAAAGGAGAAGAUAAUAUCCGACUUUAGCACCGAGUACCAGUUUCUUGCUGCUCCCUUCAGGGUGGAUGGAAAAGCUCAGCACAGGAUGGCGUCUGGCGCACCAUAGAGUAGCAUCAUUGUUCGAAAGACCUCCAGGUGGUUAACCAGAUCUGAGGUCCCAUCGUAGCUUUCGAAUUGGGAGAGCUUGAAGUUUGGC